AUGGCUGUGCCAAGAGGCAGUGGUAGUGAACCCGUGGUGAAGGGCCAGGACCAUGGUUCGAAUCCACCCCGGCCUCUUGCAAGUGUUCUGACUGCAACACAUUACCUACCCUCCUUGUGCCUGAGUUUCCUCCUCUUUAAGUUGGGGAUGAUAAUAACACCUACCCAAAGGAUCAUGGUCUUAAAAUUUUGGUUGCAGAAAGCAAAUGUACAGAGAGCAGUGGAAAGCAAGUCAGAAGCUGCUGAUUCCAGAGAUGGUCACAGUUUAUGUAAAAAAAAAAAAAAUGUAAUUUACCCUUGA
rnacentral:lncRNA from 1 species